UACGAAGGGUGCGAGCGUUAAUCGGAAUUACUGGGCGUAAAGCGUGCGCAGGCGGUUUUGUAAGACAGGCGUGAAAUCCCCGGGCUUAACCUGGGAAUGGCGCUUGUGACUGCAAAGCUGGAGUGCGGCAGAGGGGGAUGGAAUUCCGCGUGUAGCAGUGAAAUGCGUAGAUAUGCGGAGGAACACCAAUGGCGAAGGCAAUCCCCUGGGCCUGUACUGACGCUCAUGCACGAAAGCGUGGGGAGCAAACAGG
rnacentral:rRNA from 1 species